CGUUACUUUACUCUGAAAUGCCAAGAUA
rnacentral:sRNA from 1 species